AGUGCCCUUGGCCUCCCUCCUUCCUAAACUCUCAUCCCGCCCUCAAUCACUACAUUCCCAUACAAAUGGGUUUUAUGCUGUGAAUCAUUCGACCUCUCUCUGGAUCUACAAAGUCUUAAACCCUUGCAGCGCCCUCAUAUGGUAUAUCCUAGGGUUUGGUUCUCUUGAAGGACAAUUGACUGGAUAACUAUCAAUUGUAUGAUAAUCGUGUGGUGACUUUCAUAUGAUCGAUCCAUGAAUGAAGCAGAACUACUUACAGCUUGACUUCAAUAGCUUUCUUUUACUAAAUUGUUUAUGGAUGUGUUUUGAAUUAUAAUUGGAAUUCUUGAUUUCGGGGAGGUUGUCAAGUUUGUCUCAUUGUUUGAAUUUUAUUGUUGGUUGUUGUGAAAUGAUUACAUAGUCAUAUUUUUUUUUUUAUUAGUAUUAUUUUGUAUUCUGUGAAAGAUAAUUUCGAAGCUCUGUUUUCAUCAAUUGCUCCUCAUUAGUAAACUUGAUGAGUGUUUGACUGUUGCUUGCUCGACUCUCAUAUUGUUUGCAUGUAAUGCAGUUUUAGUUAUGUUCACUUGUUAUAUAUCUUAUGGAAUUGUCAGAAACACCUUUUAGAUGCCCAUUAUACAGACUCAAAGUAAUUAGACACAAAUUUUAGGCCAGAGAAUUAUACGCAUUCUACAUAGUAUCUACAGAUAAAGAAAAUUCUUCAAUGUUUUUCAAUAUUAAAGAUUGGCGUGACAUUUCACCACCAAUGUGAUGCUUGAUUCACUGUAGUUAAAGUUGUCUUCCAAGAAGAGCUGAUGUGUCUCUGAGUAUUCUUUUUUCUUGUUCAAUUUUGGCUCUGCGGUGGCUUACCAAAUACCAACCAUAGGGAUAGAUAAACUUAACUUUGAUUUUAUUGGUUUGCUUUUUGACAAAUGUCCUCUCAAGUGGUUAUAUAUAUUAUUUUUCUGCAAGUAAACGUUGAUAUUCCAGAUAUUUUGGUAGUCUUUGUUGCAUGACAUCAGUUGUUGAUGAUCCUUUUCAUGUUUUGUUAAUGAUAAAAUAAGAGUUAGUUAUUGUAACAGAUUCUACAUGCAGGCAAAACCUUCUAGACAAGUUAUAUAUUUGGUGCUGCUCACUACAUAUGUCAAGCUAUUUUGUUUAACUAUUUGAUUAUUUGUCUACCUAUUGUCCUGCAGAGCAAAGUCGUUGGUGUUUGGUGACAUUUGUUACAUGUUUUAUGUAUUUUAAGAUCUGAUCUCACCUUGCAUGCAAAAUCAAAGAUGAUCACUUUGAACAUAAAAAACGUACUGCUUUUGCUUAUUAUAUGUUUGGGCUAUGGUCUUUGCCCACAUUUUAUGUUCUGCCUUGGCUGAAACCAAUUUGUUUUAUGUUUCUAUUACUUGCCUAAUUUUAGUCAUAAAAACUUUCAUGUUGACAAAUAUUGAUGAAAUAUUUCAUUGUCUUUUACAGCACAUUGUAUGGAAAUCCUCUCAAAAGCAUCAUAUUUCACCUAAUAUUGUUUGACCUGGGUAACAUAAACCUCCUAUCAUUUUGGACUAUGUCAUGUGACUGCAUUUUCCCCCCUAAUCGUAAUAGAUUGUUUUUUUUUUAUUCCUAAAAGAAAAAAUUGAUUAGAGUUGGUUGCCACGCAUGAGUGCUAAAGUUGUUUAAAGAUGCUUUUGUUUCAAGAAUCAAUUGAGAACUACUGCUGUUUCUUUAUUUCAUCUUUAUCUGGGAAAGGUGUGGCUUUUUUGUUUAUGUUUAGCAGAGUUGGUUAUUACGUAUCAUCAAUAAUAAAGCUAACACAAUGUGAAUCUUUCAUAUCUUAUAGACGUUCCACACUGAAACUUAUUGUUAUUGGUCCAGUGGUCAUCAUCAGCCAGUGAAAUAGACCCCCAUUUAUUUCUGCAAAUUGUAGAGAGUGACAAAAAGCAGAAGCUUAUAUUACAAAUUUAAAUUAUUUGCAUUCAGCAAUCAAAUCACUGUAUCCAAAUUUAUGGGGGAUACUUUUAAAUGAAGUCAAGAUGCAGAUGGAAGCCAGCUCAAGUGCAAACUUCUUGGCUGUCAAAUCAUUUGGUUCACUAUUUGCAAUUCUUUAACCUUAACAGGUUCCACCUGGCUGCAUGAGUUGUUGGCAGAAGGCAAAGUUUUAGGUACGUUUGUCCUGAACUCACACUGGCCCUCAUCUUUCAUUACCAAUUUAGAGUUCCUAACCGGUUUCUUUCACAUAUGAAAACCACUCACUUAUUCAACUGUCAACAGGUAUUGGCAGGAAUAAAACAAAAAAAAAAAGACAAUGUAUCUGAAAAAAAGGUAAAGUAGCACUUGUUUCUCUUCAACCAGGAAAGAACUUUCUUCCUUUACAAUGUUGUCUUGUUGUGUAUAUCUUUUUUUGUGUUUGUGAGAAGAAUUAAAAUAAAAAUAGAAAAAAAAA